rnacentral:rRNA from 1 species
UUGGGUCUGGCAUAACCCCGGGAAACUGGGGAUAAUACCGGAUAACGCAUAUCUGCUGGAAUUCUUUAUGCGUGAAAUGGAUUCGUCUGCCCAAGGAUGGGUCUGCGGCCUAUCAGGUAGUAGUGGGUGUAAUGUACCUACUAGCCGACGACGGGUACGGGUUGUGAGAGCAAGAGCCCGGAGAUGGAUUCUGAGACAUGAAUCCAGGCCCUACGGGGCGCAGCAGGCGCGAAAACUUUACAAUGCGGGAAACCGUGAUAAGGGGACACCGAGUGCCAGCAUUAUAUGUUGGCUGUCCGGGUGUGUAAAAUACACCUGUUAGCAAGGGCCGGGCAAGACCGGUGCCAGCCGCCGCGGUAACACCGGCGGCCCGAGUGGUGAUCGUGUUUAUUGGGUCUAAAGGGUCCGUAGCCGGUUUGGUCAGUCCUCCGGGAAAUCUGACGGCUUAACCGUUAGGCUUUCGGGGGAUACUGCCAGACUUGGAACCGGGAGAGGUAAGAGGUACUACAGGGGUAGGAGUGAAAUCUUGUAAUCCCUGUGGGACCACCUGUGGCGAAGGCGUCUUACCAGAACGGGUUCGACGGUGAGGGACGAAAGCUGGGGGCACGAACCGGAUUAGAUACCCGGGUAGUCCCAGCCGUAAACGAUGCUCGCUAGGUGUCAGGCAUGGCGCGACCGUGUCUGGUGCCGCAGGGAAGCCGUGAAGCGAGCCACCUGGGAAGUACGGCCGCAAGGCUGAAACUUAA